AUGCUAUGGAAGGGUGAAUUCUCACUAAAAGGCGACAUGCAUGUCACUAACCAUGUUAAUUUAUCGCUAAGAUUUCCUGACCCCAAUGGUUGUUUUAAGAAUGCCGAGUUCCCGUUCAAUGUGGACCAAGAUACCAGCCUUUCUGUGGCUCUGGAAAUGGUCUACACUUUUGGACGGUGGCGGCGGAGGCAGAGGCUAUGGCUCGAUAGCGAGACGAGUCUGUUGAGAAUAGCCAGCGACGGGCUCUUUUCUUUCGCUUGCUCUGUUUUAAAAAAAGAGACAAGAAUAGCUUCAAUGACAGCAUCUCGAAUCAUCAAGUUGUGUGACUUCCCUCUUGAGUGGGUGUUGUAUUUUAGCAGGCCUAUAUUUGAAAUAGUUGAGAGCCACUUUUGUUAUUUCUAUAUGGGUGCACACCAAAUUAUACCUUCCGAGAAGAUUAAUGUGCUCAUGAUUUACCUUCUGAAAAAGGGAACUUGUGAUCCAUCUGCGCGCAAUGAGCUGGAGGCGGGGGGCACAAAAGGACACUAA
rnacentral:rRNA from 1 species